GCAGAAAUUGGUGAGUGCUGGGGCUGGGGCAACAGCAGUAAGUUCAAUCUAUAUCUGUAUCUAUAUCUAUAUCUAUAUCUAUAUCUAUAUCUAUAUCUAUAUCUAUAUCUAUAUCUAUAUCUCUCUCUCUCUUUCUCUCUCUCUCUCCCCUCGUCCCCCCACUUCCUCCUUAUUUUCUGGAACAUGAGAAAAUUAGGCUCCCUUCAACUAUAGUAAAACAGAAAAAAUAACCACAACAAUAUCAUCAUCAUCAAGUUCUUAUACUAGGCUCCACCAGUUUUGAAAUAUUUAUAAAUGUAUUAACUCAUUUAUUUCUCACAACUGAAUGAAAAACAGUGAUGGAAAACUACUCAUUAUAUCUAAAUAUCAGUAACUGUACUGGGAGAGGCUGUCCUAUACAUGGGAACACAUGAGGGAUGACACUUCAGUGGCUUGCUCGAGCCCCCACAGCAAUCCAGUAACAGAGGUAGGAAGCAGCCCACUUCCUACCACUCCUGACUCCACUCUUCCAAAAUGCUGUUCCACCUCUCCAGGCAUACACACCUGAUUUCCUCAGUGAAUCUCAAAGCAACAGUUAAUAACUAGGAGCCUCAGUGUAACCAAAAAAUUUUAAAAUAUACAUAUAUAAAGUAUAUGAAUACUUACGUCAAGUAGAAUUACCCCAUUAAAUUUAAAGAAUUUCCCUCAAGCUUUUUUCAUUCAAGCAAGGAAAAUUCUAAAAAAGAAAAUAAAUGAAGGGCAACUACACUUACCAAAUAAUAAAUCAUACUGUAGAACUAUAGUUAUUAAAAGCUUGGUACCAACACAGGAAUAGACUAUCCAAUGAUUGAUAUUCCUGAAGUAUACCCAAAUUGAUAUUCCUUAAGUAUACCUACAUAGAAAUAAGAUUGCAUAUAAAAAUAAUAAAAAUAAGAGUGCAAAAGAAACUUACUUGGGAAUAACUACCUAUCCAGAGAGAAAAAAAAAGCUGGAUCCCUCUCUAUUUACACCAAAAUCAAUUUCCAAAGGAUCAAAAAAUCAAAAUAUUUUUAUAAAGAACUAAAACAAAAUAUGGAUACAUUUUAAAAAUAAUUGUAAACUGGAGAAAGGUUUUUCUAGUAUGACACAAAGUCCAUAGAAGAAAUGACAGACCACAUAAAAAUUUAACUGUGUCCAAAAAUUUCCCCAAGUAGAAACAUUUAAAAGAGAGCAAACUGGUAAAACAACAACAACAAAAGAGGACAAAAAAGAAAAAAUCUGCCACAAUUAACAAGCAGUUUGUUUUCUUUGAUGUACAAAAAACUCCCAUGAAUCAAUAAGAAAUGGGAAGCCAACCCAAUGGAAAAAAUGAGCAAAAUAUGCAAAAAGGCAUUCCAAGGAAACGUGAUACAAACUACCAAUACAAGAUGAUCAGUCUCCCUGGGAACCACAGGCCGGCAGAAGCACUUGGCCACUGACAGAAAGAGUGAAUUCCUGUGACUGUGCUGGGAGACUAAAAGCAAGGUAGAGACAACACAUCUGUGCUGACCAUCUGCAGGCGGAAUAGGAUUUGGUGAGAACAGGUCUGGAAAACAAGGAUGCUAAUUCUCACCAGGUUGGAGAGGAAAGACUGCCAGAGUGAAUGUAAACCACACAUAUAUUCGUGACUACAUGCAAGCCUGCUGAAAUCACAGGUGAGUACUUCUUAUUUAAUGCUCUCCAGUAUCAUUUACUGACCUUCAUGUGGCCUUAAACACUAGACGAUUAACAUGUAUGAGAUCUCCUUUCCUUUCUCCUUAUAUCCUCUCCAUUUCCU
rnacentral:lncRNA from 1 species